UUCCGGUUGAUCCUGCCGGACCCGACUGCUAUCAGAGUGGGACUAAGCCAUGCGAGUCAACGUAGUAAUACGUGGCGAACGGCUCAGUAACACGUAGUCAACAUGCCCAGAGGACGUGGAUAACCUCGGGAAACUGAGGAUAAACCGCGAUAGGCCAUGAUUUCUGGAAUGGUUUAUGGCUGAAAUCUAUAUGGCCUCUGGAUUGGACUGCGGCCGAUCAGGCUGUUGGUGAGGUAAUGGCCCACCAAACCUAUAACCGGUGCGGGCUCUGAGAGGAGGAGCCCGGAGAUGGGCACUGAGACAGGGGCCCAGGCCCUAUGGGGCGCAGCAGGCGCGAAAUCUCUGCAAUAGGCGAAAGCUUGACAGGGUUACUCUGAGUGAUUCCCGCUAAGGGGAUCUUUUGGCACCUCUAAAAAUGGUGCAGAAUAAGGGGUGGGCAAGUCUGGUGUCAGCCGCCGCGGUAAUACCAGCACCCCGAGUGGUCGGGACGAUUAUUGGGCCUAAAGCAUCCGUAGCCGGUACUGCAAGUCUUCCGUUAAAUCCACCUGCUCAACAGUUGGGCUGCGGAGGAUACUACAGCGCUAGGAGGCGGGAGAGGCAAGCGGUACUCAAUGGGUAGGGGUAAAAUCCACUGAUCCAUUGAAGACCACCAGUGGCGAAGGCGGCUUGCCAGAACGCGCUCGACGGUGAGGGAUGAAAGCUGGGGGAGCAACCGGAUUAGAUACCCGGGUAGUCCCAG
rnacentral:rRNA from 1 species